CUCAGACAAUAGGAUAACUAAAAACAACUACAAGAAAAUAAACCUCAAAAUACAUUUCAUCAAAAGUAAGAGAAAAAAGAAACCCAAGAAAAUCCCAGAUUUCUUUUAAGUGCUGCCAAAAGCAGAGCUGAACAGGAAGCCCAUGUUGUUUCUUCAGUUAACAAGAUCAACCUUGCUGGGAAAUGAACAAGCGACCAGGGUUCCUGUGUGAAGAACAUGACUCUGGAUAGGACAGCUCUGCAGUUGAGACAGACGCUGAAGGAGCUGGAGGCUACCUACUGACCACUCUCCCCAGCAGCUGAGAAGGAAAGAAGACAGAAAGCUUGGCUCAGCUAUACUAACUUUCAGAAGGAGAAAAAAGCACCAUGUUAGGACAAGUCCUGUUGGGAAUCACUGUGCUGCUGGUUCAUGAAUCUGAAGAAAAAAACUGGCAAUGAGAAUAGAAGAAUCGCAAACAAUGUAGCAGGCCCUUGCCAAGAUUUAAAUACAGAAGAAACAUUCAAAAGGACGGUAUCAAAUUAUCACAAAGAUGAAGAAAGUAAUGACUUACAUUCUCCAUCCUCUGGCUGGGUGACUCACCAAAGUGGAAAAUAAAGCACUUGGAGAUUACAGUUACUCCCAAAAAGAGGGGGAAAGGGAUGGGCUCUGGAGAAGCCAAUCCAGUUACAAGUUAACAUGCCACUGGAACAUCUGUGAUGGGAGGUGGCAGCUAAAUGCUUCGUGUCUCUUUGUGUUCUCCAGAAUCUUCAAGUAAGAAAGUCCAGCCCUGCCUCAGCAUUCUUCAUCUGGACCGCAGACAUAUUAAAAAGCACCUAAUGCGUGCAGGGUAUCAUGUGAGGAUAUGCAGGUGAUAAUUGUUGUGCAUGCACACUUAGUUAGAACACAGAGUGAAAAUAGGUGUCCCUGACCACUCUACUUAAAAGGGCUGCUCUCUGUAGUCUCUAUUUAUUUUUGUAAUGGUCAUAUUGACAUACAACUCAUACAUUAUACAAUCUGACCACUUCUAUUUUGUUAUAUACCUGUGUUAACUUAUUUAAAAUACAGGCUCCAUGAAGAUAACAACCAGGUGUCUUUUGUUCAUCAGUGGACACCCAGCAGCUAUCAUAAUGCACAAUGCAGCCACUCAGUAAUGAUGCGGAAUGGGGAAGGGAAGUGCUGGGAAGGGAAGGGCAUGGUCCCUUUAAAUGAUAGGGAAGCUGGGAAGGGCAGGGUUCAUAGCUAGGGCUCCACCCCCAGGCCUGUGCCUAUGGACCUAGGUGAGGACAGACAUUUUUGUUUUCCUGCCCCAAUGUUGCAUUUCCCAAGACCACCCUGGCCUGCCACGCCCCCAUCCUUUGCCUGUAAAAUCCCCCAGACCCUAGCAGGCAAACACACAGGCGGCUGGACGUGGAGAGGAGCAUUUCAGCGGAGGCACACGUGGGCGGCUGGACAUCUAGAGGAGCUCUGACAGGCACUGGCACACCAGCAGGCCACUCACUGGCAGAACGGCCUGGAGUUUGGCCGGGGCAGUUGGAGGAGAGCCCUGGCGGCCAAGCAUCCCGACUCCAGGGGAAAACCAUCUCCCUUCUGGCUCCCCCAUCUGCUGAGAGCUACUUCCACUCAAUGAAGCCUUGCGCUCAUUCUCCAAGCCCACGUGUGAUCUGAUUCUUCCUGUGCACCAAGUCAAGAACCCCGGGAUACAGAAAGCCAUCUCUCCUUAUGAUAAGGCAGGGGGCGUCUAAAUGAGCUAUCACAAGCCACCUACUGAUGGCUAAACUAAAAGAGCACCCUGUAAUGCAUGCCCGCUGUGGCUUCAGCUGUAAACAUUCACCCCUAGACACAGCCCUGGGGCUCC